AGUACACAUGACAUAAACUAGAUCCAAAAAAAUAGUACAUUAUAAAGCCAACUAAAUUUCAAAAGCAGCCAUGAUAAGUAUUCUACAGGAGCUGGUUAAUACGCUUAUUAACUAAUUUAAAUAUUUUUUUCCUGCAAAAAUUGUUGAACACAUACACAUAAAAAACAUGACAAAAACGUUACAUUCAUAUCCGACAAAGUUUAUGAUAUUGCUAUUUAGGUCCUCUAUCUUCUGUCAUGUAAAGAUUUUUACAAAAAGUUUUUGGGGUAGGUGUUGUAAUUCCUAUGAUAACGCAUAUUGUAACUGUUAUCACGGAUGAAAAAAAAAACCAUACAUAUCAAACAAAUCAUAUAAACAAAAAAUUAAACAAAACCAAAAUAUAAAAAAGAAAACAGCUCGAAAGAAAAGAAUCUGAAAAAAAUCACACCAAUCCAUUCAGUAUUGUUGUAACUUACUUUCAUUUAUUAUUCUAGUACAGUAUUACUGAUUGAAAAAAAUCAUCAGUGGCGCUCAUUUCAAAACAGUUGAAUGCCAAAUAAAAUACAAUCGAAGAUCCUUAAUGCUUUCAAAUUCAUAAUUUAUUUGGCCAUUUUAACGUUUUGAUUCAGCGCGAGUUUGUUUUUUUUUUUGUAAACAAACGCGCAUCUGGCAUUCAUAAUUUUAAGAAUUGUACCAAUGAUGAGUUGAUCAACAGAACUAAUAGUAAAAAAAACCAAAAUCAAAUGUUGCCCAAAAUUAGAUUUUCAAUGAUAGAGCCCGCAAUGAUUACCCGCCAAAAAGAUAAAUAAAAAAACCUAACAUUUGCCUGAUAUAAUUAGUUCUCAGGUUAACAAAAUACGAAUUUUUUGUGUUAUUAAAAUUUGCUGUUACAAAAUAUUAGAAAUUAUUAUAAAUUAAGGAAUGUAUCUCCCUCAUGCAAAGCUCUGAUUCCUUUCACGAAUUUGGCUAUACUUUUUGGACCUUUUGGAUUAUAGCUCUUCAUGUUUUAUAUAAGCUUUGGAUUUCAAAUAUAUUAGCCACGAGCAUCACUGAAGAGAC
rnacentral:lncRNA from 1 species